GGAGGGGUCGCAUAGUGGUCUAGUGCGGGCGCCUGCUAAGCGCUUGUCUCGGGUUUCCGGGACCGAGGGUUCGAAUCCCUCCCCCUCCGCCA
rnacentral:tRNA from 2 species